CAGCAGCCGCGGGAAUACGGAGGGUGCAAGCGUUAAUCGGAAUUACUGGGCGUAAAGCGCACGCAGGCGGUCUGUCAAGUCAGAUGUGAAAUCCCCGGGCUUAACCUGGGAACUGCAUUUGAAACUGGCAGGCUAGAGUCUUGUAGAGGGGGGUAGAAUUCCAGGUGUAGCGGUGAAAUGCGUAGAGAUCUGGAGGAAUACCGGUGGCGAAGGCGGCCCCCUGGACAAAGACUGACGCUCAGGUGCGAAAGCGUGGGGAGCAAACAGGAUUAGAUACCCCAGUAGUCCCUGUCUCUAUACC
rnacentral:rRNA from 1 species